rnacentral:pre_miRNA from 1 species
AGCGAGAUUGUUGGGCCAUGUGGUAAGUGUUUAACUUUAUAAGAAACUGCCAAACUGUUCUCCAGAGUGACUGUACCUUUUUGUAUUCCCUUUAGCAAU